rnacentral:rRNA from 1 species
AACGAACGCUGGCGGCAUGCCUAACACAUGCAAGUCGAACGAGACCUUCGGGUCUAGUGGCGCACGGGUGCGUCACGCGUGGGAACCUGCCCUUAGGUUCGGAAUAACUCCCCGAAAGGGGUGCUAAUACCGGAUCAUGUCUUCGGACCAAAGAUUUAUCGCCUUUGGAUGUGCCCGCGUUGGAUUAGCUAGUUGGUAGGGUAAAAGCCUACCAAGGCGACGAUCCAUAGCUGGUCUGAGAGGAUGAUCAGCCACACUGGGACUGAGACACGGCCCAGACUCCUACGGGAGGCAGCAGUGGGGAAUAUUGGACAAUGGGCGAAAGCCUGAUCCAGCAAUGCCGCGUGAGUGAUGAAGGCCUUAGGGUUGUAAAGCUCUUUUACCCGGGAUGAUAAUGACAGUACCGGGAGAAUAAGCUCCGGCUAACUCCGUG